rnacentral:lncRNA from 1 species
UUAUGGUAAGCCACCUCUCUUCGUUCAGUUACAUUGAGGCUAAUGAGGAUGCUUUGGAAACUUCUUUCCAAGCUCUUGAAAUAGCCAACACUGUCCUUAUAGAAGUUGAAGAACCAAAGGGGAAUGGUAUUCUAUCUUUUGCAUUAUGGAAGAAAGCAAGAUCAACCAUUGAGGAAGGAAGUCUCGAAGGUUGGGGAGAUAUUAUUGACGUCAAACUAAAGUUGGA